rnacentral:lncRNA from 1 species
CGGCCUUGAGGCCAUGCUGCAGGACCAUCUUCCUUUCCUACCUCUGCCUCAGUGAGGACACGCUAGAUGUCAUCUGCUGUUCUCCACUGCACCUUCCAUGAGCAUGACCAUCCUACACAGGUGUUCCCCAUCCAUUGGAAGAUCACAGCCAGCCCCAA